rnacentral:sRNA from 1 species
AUAGUCGUAGGAGACCAUGGCAAAGCUCGGCGUCGUCGCCGCGAUCUCGUCCAUGAUCUCGGAC